rnacentral:rRNA from 1 species
UAAUAGAUACCCGGGUAUCCACGCCGUAAACGAUGUCGACUUGGAGGUUGUUCCCUUGAGGAGUGGCUUCCGGAGCUAACGCGUUAAGUCGACCGCCUGGGGAGUACGGCCGCAAGGUUAAAAACUCAAAAUGAAUUGACGGGGGCCCGCACAAGCGGUGAGCAUGUGGUUUAAUUCGAUGCAACGCGAAGAACCUUACCUACUCUUGACAUCCAGAGAACUUAGCAGAGAUGCUUUGGUGCCUUCGGGAACUCUGAGACAGGUGCUGCAUGGCUGUCGUCAGCUCGUGUUGUGAAAUGUUGGGUUAAGUCCCGCAACGAGCGCAACCCUUAUCCUUUGUUGCCAACGGUUAGGCCGGGAACUCAAAGGAGACUGCCAGUGAUAAACUGGAGAAGGUGGGGAUGACGUCAAGUCAUCAUGGCCCUUACGAGUAGGGCUACACACGUGCUACAAUGGCGCAUACAAAGAGAAGCGACCUCGCGAGAGCAAGCGGACCUCAUAAAGUGCGUCGUAGUCCGGAUUGGAGUCUGC